rnacentral:lncRNA from 1 species
GCAUGCGUAGAGCGUGAGAUAAGUCGCGGCCGCGAGUAGGGUGGGUGUAGUAGGAGUGGUGGCGCGAGCUUUGGCACUGAGGAGCGUCAUCAAUGCGCGUGGUGGGGGUGGGCUGAUGUUUGGAUUUGGUGAUCUUAAUGAGCUUUUCCAACCUGAAUGAUGCUAUGACCGAGCCGCCACGUGGUCACCAGUUUUACUUCAGAACUGUGUUGGAAGAGCAAAGGCUCAGUACCUGCCCCACUUCAGAUCUUCUACGUGACCAGCUGGAAAUUUCAUGAAUCACAGGUGAGACCUGCACAGAGAGCUUCUGCAACAGUUUCAUUUGGACAAGAGGAGCAAAAUAGUCCUUCAUCAGUACUAAAAGCUAUCUUGAAGCUCUUAUUAAACUGCCAGUGCAGAUAGUCUCCACUUCUACUAUUUUGUUACAACACUUUGAAACUAUAAUCUGCACACAGCAAGGAAUGUGAAUGCCUGUGCUACAUCAGUUGUGUAAAAUAGCAUUCAUUUCUUUUUCUAGAGAAGUACUGUUAGCAGUAUUCUAAGUAGUACAUGCUCUCCCAGUUUGAUUAAAGUGCUAUUCUCAAAUGUAAAGCCUCUUUCAGUGUUUCAGUAGGACAGACUGCUCCAGGUAUGAUUUGCAAGUCUUGAACAUGCAUCACCCUGUAUUUUCAAAGUAUUCCUGAGGGAUGGUAGGUCAUAAUAAACAACACUACUUGCUGACAAAUAAAUUCAAGUCAUACUAUAAGAGAAUAUUGUUGAAUACACAGAUCUGACCGACUUAAUAUGGUUUCUGUCUGUUGGAAAUCAUGGUUAAAAAGAUACGGUCAGUUAACAUCUGAAAGUUGAAUGUUUGACUUGUGUAAAAGGAAGUGAUUAAAUAAGUCCUGUAGAAAUAUAUUUAGUUCAUACUUCAUACCUGCAACAGACAAAUUCAAUUCUCCUUCCGCUUGCAAAUACGAAAAUAAUUGUUUCUGAACGUGAAGUAGGAUAGGGUAGCCACAGAGAAGGCUGAGGCUUCAUUCCACCUUUAACAGAAUGUGUCAUGAUUUGACUGAAGUUUACUGAAAGAAGUAGCAAGCAGAAAAGUCAGCUAGCACACAAAUAGACUUGUGCCCUUCAAACUAAUGAGCUUACCAGUGGCAUUCUCUGGAAUUGGUGCUCUUUUGGAAUUGCAAGGAACUUUUAUACCAGUUGUAUGUUGUUGUGCUUAAAGCUGUUGUAUUAACAGAAGUGUAAGAGAAAGCUUCUCUUGGCCUGCCAUAAGGACAUUAUCCAGCAGGUGGAGUUUGACAGGAUGGUGAGCACAGGCCAAGUAGACAAGCAGUGUUCCUAUGGAACUGAUUUUCUGACCAGGCUGUGUCAUGGAAAGGAAAUGUAACUUGAGGAAGUACAGCUGUGGUGGAGGAACACGUGUACUGGGCCCUAAGACCUGACUCUUGUAACAAGAACUAGAACAACAAAGACAAGAGAAGGAAAUUAAGGAAAGAAGGAUGACUCACAACUUGUAUAUUGAAGAUCACAUUCAGAAAUGGUGACAAAGAAGCUAUGAACAAAUCAAGAUUGAAAAAAAAGAAAAGAAAAAACAGCAUUUAUGCCAGGAAAACUCAAUUGUUUGAGUGCUCAUGGAAAAGAAAUGCAAGAGCUGCCUUGGUAUCACUAAAGCAAGUUCACUGAAAAAUAGGACACUUUGAGAAGGACUCAGAAACAGCAUUUGGAAUGGAGAACUCAAACUGCAUUGUAGGCCGAACUAAUGCCUGAUAUUUAAGUAUAGGGGAGAUGUGGAGUUCUGAAGCUGAAAUUGAGAAGCCUGGAUCUGACAUGGAAUGUAAAGGAAUGACAAAACUGGAUGCCAAGAGGCGUUUUCAGCAGCAGUAUUGCCAGGACACUGAAGAAACCAGAGAGACAAGCAGGAAAAUGGGAAAUGUCAAAAGUCUCUACCGUGGUCUCAGGAUCAGAGAGAGGAAGGAUGUUUCAGAGAACAAUCUGAAAGGGAAAUGUGAGAUUUGGCAGCAGGUUAGCUAAGGAAGAAAUAAGAGUGAAAGAAGAGUCAGCUUGGGGAGUACUGUAGGCUGUCUCUACUGUAAGAUAAAUUCACAGCAAGCCCAGUAUGUCUAAGCAGUAUGAAUGAGCUUGUAUUUUAAUGCCCAAGAGGUGAGGGAAAAAAUAAAUUUCCUUUGGUUGAGAAGACAAAAAGUGGCUUCUUUCAUCCACCUGAGAAGGAGUAGGGCUGCAGGCACGGUAGACAAGAAGUCAGAUGCUGUGGCAUGCCAACUGCCAAGACACCUAGCAAGUCUGUCUUUCCUUGUCCUCCUGUGUUGUUUUUUUAUCACCCUGCUGGUCUGCAAGGUUAUAUGCUGCUUCUUUUUUUCCCCCAUCCUGAUUACUGCUUGCUUUGCUAAUAAGGGAAUAAUGAUGAGGAAGUAUGUCAUACAAAUUGUUAGACAAAGAUAAGGAUGGCUACAGGGAUAGCGCCAACUGAGAAGGCAGCAACAGUGAAAUUGACUGUUUUUAGUAAUCACAUGAGAAGAAAUACAUGCUUUUGUUUUCAGAGUAAACAUUUUACUGUCUAGAUGGAAAAGUCCAGCAGCCAAAGUUGUUAUUACAAGCUGAUUUAAAGACACAGGUGAGGAAGUACUUGAAGAUAUUUGUUUGCUUCGUGUUGGCUUUAUAAGACGUGGCUUACUGGUUUCUGAAGGCUUGAAAAUGUCUUGCAGUUUUUCAUGUUGACUGGUAAAUCCUUUUGUGCCUAGAGUGCCAUCCCCUCAUAGAGUCACUGUUCAUAAUACUGAACUAUGACUGUAUAUGAGAAGGAUGGUUGUACAAUCAGAGGAUCUGAAAAACUGCUAUGUCUGUUGUUCUUAAUACUCUUAAGGCUUUAUAAUGCACUGUAUUUUCUGAACUGAUGCAAGAACAAGCCUUUGAUGAUAGAAAAACUGCAGUUUAUAGUACAGAAGGAAGUGUGAAUUGAUUUUGCCAAUUUGGGAAAUGAAAUAGGCAGUACAGAAGUUCUUAGACCCACUUUCCCAGUUGAAAAGCACUUAGGUAAAACUGGACAAAAAGCCAGAGGAGAACUAAGUGAAAUUUCACACUCAGUGAGAUGCCUCACGUCUGAGCAACCAGCCAGACCUUAGUGUUUUAAUAUCCCUAAUCUAUUCUGUGCUUUAAUGAGAUCUUGAGCUAUUGGCUCUGAAGAUUAUUAGUGCCCUGGUGAAUAGCCAUUCAAUCUUCAGGCGUGUGAUGAGAAUUUGCUUCCUCUUUCAAUCCUUCAGCUUCUUGGCUAGAAUUUAUUAUUUCCCUAAAUAAAAGCAGCUGCAAAAUUUCAUUAGGUGUUAUAGUACCCCUUUCUGCUGUAUUUAACCUUGUCUCAUUAAAUAGAUUACAUCCUUGCCUCUUGUAAUUAAGUGCAAAUCAAACACAAUAUUUUAAUAUUAUAUUAAAAAUGUAAGAAAUAGGACGCCUUUUCAGCUGCCAUUCUGAAAUUCCUGAAGGCAGGAGUGCUACUUUGACAGUGACAAAUUCUUCCAGAAACAUCUGGUCUAUAAAGUACAUUUUCUCCUUAUAGAUCUGAUAGUAAAAUCAUAAAUACCAAAGACAAAGUGUUCUGUUCUGUCACACUUGAAUUCCAUUUAAAGAGAGUUCUUUAUCUAUUUCAUCUGUUCAGUAUCUGAGUGAUUUAACUACCUGCAAAGGCUUCUGUUGAGUAUGGGUUUUCUGGACACCAGCAAUCUUAAAUAUUAGAAGAGCCCAGGCUGUAGAGAAAAAAAAAAAACAUGAAUCUAAUAAUGGGUUGUGUAUUAAUUCAGCAAGCCUUUGGUUUUAUUUAAUAAGCAAAGAAAAAUUAUACUUCCACAAUCUACUGAGAGUCCAGUCAAACUAUGUGAUAAAUACUGACAAGAAAAAAUUAUCUUGCAUGUUCUAAAGUUGGGUCAAGAGAAGCACUAUGAACCCACACCUUCCUUAUGUGAACUUGCUAAGUCCCACGUCUAAAUUUCAUCCAUUUAACAUUUGUCACAUAACUGGGGUCCUUCAGUUAAGUUCUUUGCAGAAAUAAAAGAGGAAUUGUCUGUUUGAGGGCUUUGAUGUUGCAUCUCUCUUGAAAGCACCUUUCUCCCUGUGCUGACUGUAAGGUUGUGCAGGGCAGCAGUGCUGAUCUGAAGUUGGAGAUGUAAGUUCAGUGGUAUUCUCUGUGCUCAAUGUAACCAAAAUGCACUGUGUGUCUCCAUCCUAUACCUUUGGAGUUAAGCAUUAGGUAAAUAUAGAGCAUUUCCCCAAGUUUGUUUCAGGUAUGAACUAUGUGUAUGCUAUUAGCUAUCUCUGUAUCCAGGAGAGAUUUAUGUUGAUAAUAUUAUCAUUAACUCUAAUUUGAUUUCAAACUGAGUCACUGAUUACAUGGUUUCUAAGUCUCAGAUUCUGCUUCCUUGGGGAAGCAGAGGUGAGAAAGUUUGCAUGCUAUUGCAUAUAUAAUUAAAAACCACUUCCCAUUAUGUAUAUAUGCUGUCCCUGCCCUGCUAUACUGUCCUUUGCUCCUUUGCACCUUUUCCAUCCUAGCUGGUAGUGAUGCAGCAGCAGUCAGUCCGUUCUGUUACGUGUGCCUGAGUCGGGCUGCAGCCUUUUCUUAACAAGAGCCAAGGGCAGGUAUCAUGCUGCUCUGAUUUACCUGCAUGGCUGCGUUAGACCCAGUCAUUUCAAAGUUCUUAAUGAUGGCAAUUUAUCAAACAAGCCUUAAAAUAAUAGGCACUGUUUCCAAAAUGCCAUGGCAUUAGCAACCCACUCUUUAUGGAGUGGCAUAAUGUUUUCUUAAAAAAAUAUGUAAUGGACAAAUAAAUAACAACAACGACAAAAAACCUCAAAAAGAAAUAAGAAAAACACCUCCCCCACCCCAUGUUUGGAACAAGCUCGAUACGUGGUAUGUUUUCACAUUGUUUAGUACAGUCUGAAAAUUGCCUAAGUGCACAAAAUGGGUCACCCUGAUUAUGUUUUGAGGCUGUGAAUUCUUGCAAGAAGUUGUUAAUGCACGAGCAGUCCUGCUCAGCAGAGUACGUUACAGCAGGAGCACGGCUACAGCUUACUGUGGGAGGUGGGAAGUGGCUCAGUUUGAGAUCGGAUGAGAACAGCCAACUACUUCACCUGAAAAGAUCUCUCUCUAGAGGAAGGUCAGGCUAAUUCUGCUAGAAUCGUGCAAACCAGUAAUUUGAAGUGCUCCUUGCAGUGAAUCGAUGGAUGUGCAUUACUUUGUGAAAGUGUGCAUUAAUGUUUGUAAGUAUUAACACUUAAAAUACAUUCCUUGCUCUCUCUUAGUUGAUAAUGUCAUCUCUGGAAGUGUUUAGCAAAUUAUAAAAUGUAAUUAAUACAUAUAUUUGUGUGUGCAUGGCUUAUAUUUGUCUCUUUUUGAGAGGGCAAGCCUUAGGCUGAAGUGCUUGCUAUUUUGCAAAGCCUUGAGGACUGUACUGACCUGGUAAGUCAGAAGUUGUUCCAUCUUCUGUUUUGACAGUAGGAAUAGGAAGAGAAUUGCUUUCCCUACAGUGCCAAAGUGAGAAGGAACUUAACACUGAUCUGUGAGCUUUUUAGCUCUGUAGGCUGUGUCAGUGUAGGAAAUUGUAUGGAUGAAUGGAUGCGGAUCUACAGAAACAAGCAGGUGUUGGUGCAGGCUCAAGGUACUCAGUAUAUAUGCAUUCAGGAGGGAUGAGGGAUUUAACGAUGAUCUGAUCACUUAGGAUCUUAUUUUGUGAACUGAAUGCUUAUUUACGGUUGAAGUGCACUUCCUAUUUAGUUUCAUCUGAAAGGAGUCUAGGUAGUGCACGCCAGAAGUAAUCCACCGUAUGAGCCAAAGCAGGUGAGUGGGGACAGUCAGGAGGUGUACUUCUAAUAAAUGGGUUUAUUUCUUAGGAAAUGUCUUGGCUCUACUGUUAUUGCUCUAGCACGAUUAAGGUCUUGGCUACUGAAGUAUAUUGGUGGAAUGUGAGAAGCAAUCAAAACCAAUUCAGCAUCCUGGUAGUUUUGCUAUGGCUCAACAGGAGCUGGAUCUGAGAAUGAGUGAGAGAAGCAGUCAGUCUCUAUUGUUCGGCCUCUGUGAGUAAAAACAUAACAAUUAGAAACUGGAAAAGGAGUUAAUGCCAGGCUUGCGCUGGUAAUGAUUGACUUUUCCAUUCAUGUGGCUGCAUAUACAAGGCCAUCAAGAGAUGAGGAAUAAGGAUUGUAUUUACCAAACUCAGUGUAUUUCUGUGAGCUCUGUACUUACUGUUGCUGCACUAAUGUGGCUAUUUCAGGACUACUGGUUUGUAAAAUAAGAUACUUCAUUUUUACCAUCACUCAUAUAAGCUUGGCAUUCUACUGGCAUUGCAUUAAGGAUAUAAAUUCAUCUUCUGAAAAAACAAACAUUGAUAGUAUAAGAAAUUGGAAAUUGCUAAUAUUAACUUCAAAUGAUAAGGUGUCAGCUAUUACAAAUUCUAUGGGGCACAGUGUAAUUUGGAAACAAAAGAGACAGCUAAAAGUAAGAAUAUAUGUUUUCAACAAACCGUGUGGCCGUGCUGUACCUUCAGCACAAUAUAAUCUCAUGGAUUAGAGAAACUUCUACUUAACCCUCCAGUAUCAGGGUUCAUGUUGCUCAUCUGUCCACUUGCUGCUUGCAGAAUGGAGCUCAUCACUAGCUGUCACAGGAAGCUUAGUCAGCUCUGUUAAAUAUAUAGGAUGUCUGAUUUUCAGCUGUAUGAUGAAGCUUAACAUCUAAUCUUAAUGUUGGGUACAGUCAGCUGUAAAGGAAAAAGCUGUUUGGAAAGCUCAGAACUCGUAUGGCUGAGCAGAAUUUGCUUAUAACGCCGGUGAAGUAGUACAGGUCUCAUGAGCUAUGACCGCUGAGUGAGUUUAAUUUCUAUGAUAUCAUAAGUGCGAUUCUCUCAUGCUUUCCAAGGCUAAGUAAGGUGUAGCUAUAAUCAAACAUGUAGCCAUUAAAGCUGCUUAGUCCUAGAGUCAGAUUCAUUUCCUGUCUUCAAGCACUAGUGGACUGUUGAAAUUUGGGAUGCAGGCCUACGAUGACACAAAAUGCGUUAUAAUAUACUUGGUGGGAACCUCUGCCAUUAUUAUUAUUUAUUUUUUAAAUGUCAGUUGUCAAACUGGAAACGUUUUUCAGGGAAAAAAAAAACAAAAAACCCAAAACAUUUUACUGAGGAUUUCACAUGCACAGUUUUGGAAUUAUAAUGACCAUCCAGAAGGAAUUUAAUUGGUGAUGAAAUUCAAACUUAGUGCAAGUCAUUUUUUUUUUUAAUGGAGAAAAAAAAAAAAGUCUUGUAUUUAAUCUGGAAUAAAAAUACUUUUGAGAUCUCAAAAAUAUUGGCAUCUUUUUUCCUGUGCAGGCUACUGAGAACUGGGCUUAGUCCAGAAAACCGGUGGCAAUGGCUUGGAAAUGCACGGAAGCACAUAAUCUUGCAAAUCAAGCUGCUAAUGGAAACUGGGGUAUGUCAUUUUUGCUCUCUAUUCCAAGUUUGUUGGUAGCUACCAUCUGGAAUUUAAAAACAUUAAUGAUGAUUAUGAGAUUAGAAGGAUAAAAAGCCACAGCAGCUCUCAGAUAUUACAGCAGAGCUUUUCCCAUGUGCCUGAGGGAAAAGUACUGUAUCCCGUGCAGAAUAUUUUCAGAUUAUUUUAAUUCAGUUGAUUUUUAUUUAUGCAUAUAUUUUUAAUGAUUGAACAAUUGUUCAAAGCCUUUAAAAAGGAUAAAGGGAAACGUUGGGUGCAUAAUUCAUGUGCCAUUUGCAGCCAACCAUCUUGCACAACCAGGAAGGUUCAGAGGAAGAAAAGUACAAUUCAAAAGGAGAUGCUGGGCUGUGAAAUAAGGAAAGAAGCAAAAAUCUCACACUUCCACAGUUUGAACUGUGAAAUGUUAAUUAAGUAUAAAGGAAAAACAUGUUGAAGCUUCAGAGCAUUAUGUCCAAGGCAGAGGAAGUGUCAUGGUUAAGGGUGAAUAUGACUGCAACAUGGCAUGCUGUCUUGCACAGUCAGUUGACUGGAAAACAGAUCCUGAUGCACAGGAUGGAAUGAGCAGGUCUGACUGGCGGGGACAAGGAAUGGAGGUGAAUGGCAGUGGGCAUUCUUCUUUUCUUCUUUUCUUUUCUUCGACAGGUGCCAUCCAAGGUAGAUCCUCAGUCACUGGGUAGGUACCAAACUGUGCCAGGCGUGUAUCCCCUUCCUCUGAAAUGCAACAUUUUGGGGGAAGAGCAGAGAGCCUGCCCAGGCACUCAGUGGGCUCAGUCCAGCCAGGAAUGCUUGUUUUGUUCAUGUUAAGAAGGAUGAAAGAAGGGCAAAGUGUGUGGAAAGUAAGCCCUCACUUAGAAAAAGAAUUUCUGGCUCAAACUAGGUGUAAGCAAAGUUCAUGCAAAUCGUGUUCUAUUAGCAUAUAUGCUGUUUACUUGGGUUUUUUUUUUCCUAGUGCUUUUGUCCUAAACUGGUUAUUUUGGAUUGCAAAUGUGAGGCAGUGAUCAGCUGGUUUUCUGUCAUCACCUGAAGGAGCCACUCUGUGGAUGCUGAAGUGCACUCAGAACACAGGAGAACAGUCACCACGAGUUACAGGGAGACCUCAGAUCAGUGUCCUGCUCAGGAAGAAAAGAAAGAGGUUCUGAUCAGAGGAAGUUGACAGCUUGUCCUUAAAAUUAGACAUGCCCUUGAGGAAACCACACAGGGAUCACAAUUUCCAUCAGCUCCAGAGACGUAGUAGUUGCUAGAGGGGUCAUUUACUUAAGUGGUUGGUACUUUCUGGAGUAUAUAUAAAGAAAAGAAAGUAAGCUAUUACAUUAAAUAGCUCUUAAGUAGGAUGGAACAAUGAGGUUGGUGAAAAGUAGUGUUUAUAAAUGUUACUGAAGAAAAAAUAAUCAGCAGAUGAAGAAGUACAGUUAUUAACACAAAUGAUUUCCAUGCAUGGAUUUGCAAAGCUCUUAGUCCAAACAAACGAUUUAGGUAAUGCCAGUAGAGAUGGAUGGCUGUUCCUACUGAGCACAGAAUUAAGAGAAAAAGAAAGCUGGUGACAUCAGUAUCAUCUGAUUGAAGGUGAACCUAAGCUAAAGAAAUCUGGAAGUGUGUUCAGCCCAGAGCACAACCUGGCAUUACACAAAGCUGUGUGCUGGAGAGGUUAGGGAAGCCGGACAGCUGAUAUCCAUCAAGGAGAGAGAGCUCUUUCUGUGGUGGGCUGGCUAAUUGUUUGUUUAGGCAUUCAGCUGGGUUGCAGAAGACUUGUGUUUGGUUUCAGGUUUGUUUAAAACACCCUAUGCUCCCUGGACCGUUAAUUAUUUGACCUCUGUUGUGGUUCCUAUGUAAGAUGUUGGUAUAAUAGUUCUUUUCAUUGAGGAUAUAUGCUGGUAACCAACCGAAAAGGUCACUGCCCAGGUGCUGUUACUCUGUGUUCCACCCUAUAAAAGACAGAGAAACCAGAAUGGGUGUUUUCUUUCUGUAAGCUUCACUAAUGAAAUCUAUUCUCACUGGAGCUCAUUGAUCAACGUUGUUUGAUGAAUGGUUAUUUGCUUGAUCUAAUGUUUACUGAAGUCAGCAGAAAUCUUUCACUGGACAUUUAAUUUUUAUUUUUUUUCCUGUCUUGCUGCUGUGCUUUAUGGCCAAUGAACCGGCGGAGGAAAAAUGCUCAGGAAUAAAAGCCCUUGGGAUGAGUAUGAAGGAACAGAGAUCUUCAGGGUUAUACAGUUUGUAGCUUUAAAGUAAUGAUAACUUCUUUCAGUUCCAGUUGGAAGACCCCAGAGGCCAAGAUUAACCUUAAUACAACACGUAGGUAAAGAGCAGGAGGUGGAGGAGCACGUGGUACAACAAAGGGUCAUGUCUGGAAGAUGGAGGGAAGGGGGAGCAAACCAAAUAAUUGGUUAUUAUUAGCAACUAAUUACUGUAGAUACUAUGAAUCUUGUGAGAAGCAAUACUGAAAUAGCCGCUGUGGUUUUUAGUUGGAUUAAGCUGUAUUUCAGUCUCAAACUUGUGAAGCUGCAGACACAUAACAUGUGCUGAAGCACAGGUUUAGCUUCUUUAAGAAAUAGAGGUUACAGGUGCAUGUGAUUGUACAUGUACAGCAAAUUCUUUUGUUUUCAAGAAAAUCUUUUAAUUUGAGCUUGAAACUGGAUCCUGCUGGCCUUAUUUUAGACUAGAAGUCUAAAGACUGGAUAAAGAUAGCCUUGCUUUAGUGCAGCAGCAGCAGAUGAAUCUCUGACUUCUCACAAGGUGGUGAUAGCAGUGUGGGUUCUUUGCAAUGCCUAUACUGGAAAAUACUUUCACCAAGGCAGAAUCAGACAGUAAUGAAUUAAUUCCAUUGUGUAGUUCAUCUACUUUGCUUGAUGUGGAUGGUUCUUUUCUGGCAUUGUAUGGCAAUCAUCGUUUUGGUGUGUUUAGACUCUCAUCACAUCAAGGUCCUGAUUUAGCAAAUACCUGGAACAGAAUCUCUAAGUACUGGGAUGUUCUAUGAAAUUGAACAUGUCAUUCAAGUGCUUUAAGGAGGCUUAGUGUAAUUUACUCAUUUUGUCUUUUUGCUGAUAGUUCCUGGAGGGAUUUUUAUGCCUUUAGGACAAAUUAUCUGAUGAACCUGCAAUAAAAAGCAGGACUUAGUCCUAGAGAACAAGAUUCCAAGUGGGUCUUUAAAUUCCACAGCCAAAGCAUCUUUAUGUGGUAAGGAGCAGCACACGAGGCCUUCAGAUGAGACAUUUUCCACAGGAUGAGAAUUCAGUGAAAAUGUAUUUUGAAAAUCCUGCCCUCACUUGAUAUUUAUUCUGCUAUCCAUUUGCAUGCAUUGUCUUUGAGACCAUAUAUUCUAUACCAUGUUAUUGGACAGUGAUAAAUGGCUCAACAAAGUUAAAAUUUAAUGAGAAAAGGGCAAUGAGAUGUUGUGCUUUUAUAAUGACUUAUCUGGCUUGUACAGAUAAGAUUGCGUAUGAAAUAUAAUAAUGUUAUCAAUGUAAUCUAUGUUACUUUGGACAUUACCAUACUUAUGAUUCAUUAACAGUAACUGUUUUGCUAUGUAGCUUUCUGUACUGGUUAUGUUGCUUGGCAACAUUAACUCCAAGAUAAUGAUGUCUUACUGCCUGUGAUUAAAUAAUGCUUUUUCCCCCAUAUUGUUUAUGAUAUAUCUAGCUUAUUUAUUUUCUUGUUUGCAAACUCUGUUCCUUAUUUUUCAUGCCAAAUAUAGCAAGAGCUUAUCACCAUGGUGACAGCGACAGAAAUUGAACAAACAGGAAAAAAAUUCAGAAUUGAUCCAUCCUAAAUGAGAUUCCAAUGGGAUUUAGAGUCAUGCUUAAAAACUGGGAGCCAAAUAUAAGAGUGAGCGCUCUUCAGCUGAUAGUAUACCCCAUAUCUCCUCCAAGGAGGGCUUCUGUCUGCAGGUUUGGUCCCUGCAUCAUACAUUGCUUUCCAGAUGGCACCACCUAGGAAGUGAUGGUUUUGGAACAGAGGCCUAGAUAGUAAGCUGUGUGCUUCCAAUGUACUGGCAUUAAAUCAAUAAUUCUUUGUGGUUUUGUCAUCUGUAACUGAAGUGUUAAUACUGGUAUGGAUGCAGUAUGAGUGGAAAUGUGCAUGUGACAGCACCAGAAAUUACAGCCAAGUAAAUGUUAAAAGACUGGGACUUGUACCAAACACUCAGCGUGCUGCUCCCAAGGCUCUUUACUCAGGUGUAACGAUGUUGUUAAAUCCACAUGAGAACAUCAGCCCUCUACAAGACUCCACAGCACAGAGGAAGACCUAGGAGGGUGGCAGAAAGUUGCAGCAUGUCAUGCAUACCAAUCCUUUAAGGUUUUCCAACAGGACAGUGUGCCCUUCAAACCAACAAGGAAAAAUGGAGGACGCACAGAAAGCUUGGCUACAACCUACGGAGCUACUGGAGUCAGAAACAAAGCACUGACUGCCAAAACAGAUUGUUGAUGAAGAUGUUCAAGAAGAUCAGAUCCAGCGCUGACCCCUGGAGAAUGUCACUAGUUACAGGUCUCCAACAAGGCUCUGAGCCUCUGAUCACAACCCUCUGAGUUCUGCCUGUUCUCAAUCCACACUUCCUAAGCUUACCUAUGAGGAUGUUAUGGGAGACAAUGUCAAAAGCCUUGCUGAAACCAAGGACGGAUAUUGCAGUCUCAUUAUAAGCAGGCUUCUGCUUCUCCUUAAGAGAAAUAAAGACCUAAUAACACUGUUUCUCAAAGACUAAAACUAGGGGUCCCCUGUUCUUUUCAGCAACAGCCCCACAUUUUCCCCAGAACUCUUUUUGCUGCUGAUAGACCUGUUGAAGCUCAUUGUCUUGUACUUCACAUCCACGGAUUCAACUCCAGAUGGGCCUCCGUUUAAAUGUAACAGGAAUGCGUAAUACUUUUGGAGGAGACAAAAUAUCAUCAUCACUCAGCUGGGGCUUCUGUGACAAGACCCGGAACCAAAGAGUUUGUCUCAAAAAUUCUCCAAGUGGAGCAGUCCGUCUGUGUCCUGAGGAAGCUGAGCCACCAUGGAGGUUCAUGACCCCAUUUGCAUGCAGCAAACCAGGCUUCCAGCCCAGCAGACUGUGGUUAAUGUUUGCAGAUCUAGAGGAUUAUGCUGUUGACUGCUCGGUUAAACACGUGAUGUAAAAUAUCCUCACUUCCCAGCAAGAGUUUGUUUUGGACCAGCAUACGUUUGGCAAUUAUUAAUUUUACCAAAUGCUGUAUCAAAAUGGCAUAUUAACGGUGAAGGUUACUGUUGAUAUCAGCUGUUUUCUUCUCCUUAAAACUACACCUACUCUCAGUACUGUCUUGAGUCCUUGACCUAAAGCUGGAGAGGUCUUAUUUGAGUCACCACGUGGUUGUGAAUUAAAAUUUCUUAGGCAGGGAAUUUUUGUGGACAUAAUAACUAAGUCUAGUCUACUUCCAUCAAGUUAUAUCAGUCCUUGCAAGUGUGAUAGCUGUGGCCUGAAAGCUGUUUUCUUAGGGAUGGUAGUUCCAUUUUAUGCUAAUGUUUUGGUGACAUCCUUCAUUACGUAUCCUUUAACACUCUUACAUUCUUGAUCAAAGCACACGAAAGCCCACAGAAAUUCUCUCAAACCUUUAUUUCAUUUAGUGCAAGUGCCAUGGGCAUCACAAUCACUUAAACAUUCUUUCUAAAUGUCUGUCAGAUUGCAUUUCGUAUUGGUCUGACCGAACUUCCCCACAUCUGAAAGGUCAUGUCAGGCUUCAUUCACUGCAAGUCAGCAUAGCCUCUGCUGACAGCCUGCAGAUAUCUGCAGAUCUCGUGAAGGUAGCUACAUGCCUUGGUUUGUUGUUGCUGGAAUUUGACCGAUAAGAUUAAACCUUGCCUCCGUUUUCAGCCUGCAGAGGCAGAUUCUUAAGGCAAUCAACUCAAACAUUGUUCUUCUCUAAUGCUGUCUUUCUUCUUCCUUAUGUUUCAGCGUAGUACUGAAAUAUUUGUGAUUUCUGAAAGUCUUGCUGGUUUUUCCUUAUUUAAAAACAAUACUGUCUCUGGCUGCUGAUAUAACUCUCGUUAACGCCCCUUGUUAUCGCUUCCCAUUUGGAACUAUUCUUGAUCUGCUUUUCCUUUUGGAAGCGGUCUCUUUAUAAAAGCCUUUUACACAAAGGGGGAAUCUUGUAAUGUUUUUGAAAAAAUCUGAUUUCAUUUCUCAUUAUCACUUCAUCUGAACCUGGAGCUCAUCUUCUUGGAUUCAGGUAGUUCCUUAUCCCAUCUUAGUUUUCCUUUUCAAGAUAUUACUUUUACAAUUGGAAUUUGACAUCCCUUUUGAAACAGCACUUAGAACUGUAGAUGGUAUUCAACCAUCAUGAAAGGCAGCUGGCUCUUUACGUGCAGAGAUUACCCCUUGGGAAUAAAGACUUCUCUCCAGUCCUGCUCAGAUGCAGGAAUAUACUGGGAAAAUGUAACCGGACUCUUGCAUCAGACCAGUUUUGACAGUUUUAUGCAGUUCACAUAUAUUUGGCUACUGUACAAGAAAAAGAAACUGUAUGCUUUAGGUAAUGUAAACUUUACUAUCAUAAAAAUAUCACUGCUGAAUCGCUGCAGUAUUUCAUUUGAACAGCACGAUGUGAAACUGCAUGUAGAAGGUGAUGGGCAAUUGAACAUAGAAAGAAAGGUAGACAGAUCUUGUUUGAGUCUGGAUGAUACGUAUAUAAAAGUUUGCUGGCAGUUACAUCCAUAAACAAACACUUUGGCAAGAGCUGCUGUUAUUGGUUCAAAGGAAAGAAAAGAAUUCUUAGUCUCUACUCUCACUACAACUCCCUGAAAGGAGGCUGUGUGAGGUGGGGUUGGCCUCUGCUCCCAGGGAACAGCCACAGGACGAGAGGGGAUGGCCUGACGUUGUGCCAGGGGAGGUUCAGGUUGGCUGUUAGGAACAAUUCCUUCUCCCAAAGAGCGGUGAGGCAGCGGCACAGCUGCCCAGGGAGUGGUGGGGUCACCGUCCCUGGAGGUGUUCAGGAGCCAUACAGAUGUGACACUGAGGGAUGUGGUCAGUGGGCACAGUGGGGUGGGCUGGAGUUGGACUUGAUGAUCUUUGAGGUCUUUUCCAACCUUCGUGAUUCUAUAAUCAAGUAAAGUCAGUUGUACCAACAAAAAUACUUUGAUAUCAGCAUUAUUGUGCUUAUAUUGGAGCAGCAGUGAAGAAUUCGUAUAAAAAUACCCUGAGAAUAAUAUUCACUAGUGUUUCUAAAUCAGAACUUUUUUUUAGU